CGUACAAACCUUAUCGAUAAACAAUUGGAGGGCAAGUCUGGUGCCAGCAGCCGCGGUAAUUCCAGCUCCAAUAGCGUAUAUUAACGUUGUUGCAGUUAAAAAGCUCGUAGUUGAAAUGAAGGGUAGUUGUGUAAUGAAUACAUUCGUGUAUUUUGUUAUUCUACUAUCCUCCUUCUAAAUUCGAUAUAUGAGUAUUAAUUUACUUGUAUAUGGUUUUAGACGUUUACUGUGAGAAAAUUAGAGUGUUCAAAGCAGGCAUUUGCUUGAAUAUAUUAGCAUGGAAUAAUCAUGUAUGAUUUUCAUGAUGUAUUUGAUUGGUUUGGUUCAUGAGAAUAAGAUUAAAAGGGACAGUUGGGGGUAUUCA
rnacentral:rRNA from 1 species